rnacentral:lncRNA from 1 species
CUGCUAAAGUCAUUUUGAUCAUCAAUCCACCUGCCUUGGUCAUUUUGUAAUAACUCAAUGCGAUUCCUUUUUCUUCUCAAUAAAUUUUUGGUGUGAAAGAAUGUCUUAUUUUUAUCCCUUCAUUGAAUCCAAUUCGCUCUAGAUUUUUUUAUACCAGAUGAUCUCCUCUCGAAGCAUGAUGAUAUCUAACUCUCGCUAAAGAUCAAGCUCAAGUUUUGGAAGGGCACCAGAGAAUCUCACUUCUUGUGUAUGUUGGAUUCCAUCAAUGCUGGCCAAGAGUAGAUAUUUUUGUCGAAACACAUUCCUAAACAUACGCAUGUUCUAAGAUUUCAACUUAGUUGUGAGAUUGCCAAGAUUAUUCAUAAUUAACUCAUUAGGGAUCCAAUUAUUUUCUAAUAGGGAGUGAAAAUCAUUAUGAGUCAUCUAGGUAACCUGAAAUCCAAAUGGUGGUUUAGUACCUAAAGUAGGAAAAAAACUUUAAAACUUGAUGAGAAGAGGUCUACCAUCACUUUUAAGUGCAGGGGAGGUAAAAAACACAGGCUUCUGGGUACCUUAACUGGCAUUGCUCAUUAGAAAUAGCUCUAUCCAGCUAUUGCAGCAGAGUACCUCUUUGCCAAGUAAAUGUGGAAACCCUAUAACCCAAAUCAAUAAGAUGAGAGUUGUAAACCAAUCAACAAAAUCACAAGAAAUCAUUAUCAUGUGGGAUGAGCCACCCCUUCUUUCUUCUGAAUUUAGAAGAGAGUUGAAAUAACUGGCUAAAAGUCAAGGCCUAUUCAUAAGCAAAAGAAGUGAUUGUAUAUUUUUCCAAAGAAGCUUCCUUGAAUAAGCCACCAGGCUCCCAUACGCAAUCGUUAGAUACAUGAGAAAGGUAUUGUUAUCAGAAAUAGCCAUAUGCACAAAUUUCCCAUUAUUAAGAAUAAUUUGAAUAUCCCAAUUUCCUAUCCACAAGAGCCAUAUACCCCCAGAGAAACCCUGAGCUUCAAAUCUGUGAGUAUAAGGGAAACUCGUUUUUCCUAUAAAUGUAUUUGCUUUCUCACCAUUGAUUCGUGGUUUCAAAAACACGACUAGAUCCGAUCGAUGUUUCUCCACAAAUAACCUAAAAGCAUUAAAGAAAGGGGAGCUUCAUGCUCCUUGGCAGUUCCAUAUAAACACAGACAUAUUAAAAAUGUAAGAGAAGAGAGAAUGGGAAACAACGAAACCAAACCUCAGUCCUGUAGGUAAGGAUCCACAAAUGGUUCCUUCUCAAAAUCACUACAAAUGUUGACCUGGUCCAUAUCUUCGCUGUCACCAUUUUGGUCUUCCCUCAUUUCCUCAUCCACAGCCAGCUGAGUGGAGAUGGAUGGUAAAGCUUCCUACAUAAGAGCCCCAUCACUAGAGAGUAAGCUUGGUAUAGAGGAAAAGGGAAUCAAAUAGGUAAGCUUGGUAUAGAGGAAAAGGGAAUCAAAUAGGAGCUAAGGCUUGUGUUUGGUGGUUUGCUAUGCACAAUAGUGUUCUUAUUUUUAACCAAGGUCCCACUCUUAUGGCUUUGGUUAAGGGCCUUCUUAUUUAUGGCUUUCGUCGAGGGCCCAAUACUAACGACAAAAUUAUUCAUAGGGUCUAAGGAAGUCUUCAUGCAUGAGAUAUCUGCAUGAGGACUCUAAAUGGGAUUUGACAUAUGUGGGGAAUCUGCUAGCGUUGAUAUGAAGGAGCAUACCUUUUCCUAGGAUCUCCACCUUGUCCUUUUUGCUUCGAUUGUGCCCCUACCCGAUGUAUAUCUACCUUUUUAGCAUAUUUGACCCUCCCUUUUUCAUGGGUAUCCAUUAUAAGGACAGGCCUAAUACUAGCCACAAAUAGGGCAUCAACUGAUUAAUUCUCAUAAGCUAGAGUUUCCAUCUCUACAUCUUUUGUUAAGGAAUCAAAUUGAGAUCCAUUACUAGCCUGAUUGAUGCUCUCCGAAACUUUCCUAGUAUGCACUUUCCUUCCUCUACGAGUCACAACCAUCC